GUCCACGCCGUAAACGAUGGAUACUAGCUGUUGGGUUGCAAGACUCAGUGGCUAAGCGAAAGUGAUAAGUAUCCCACCUGGGGAGUACGAACGCAAGUUUGAAACUCAAAGGAAUUGACGGGGGCCCGCACAAGCGGUGGAGCAUGUGGUUUAAUUCGAUGAUACGCGAGGAACCUUACCAAGGCUUAAAUGUAGAUUGACCGGUUUUGGAAACAGACUUUUCGCAAGACAAUUUACAAGGUGCUGCAUGGUUGUCGU
rnacentral:rRNA from 1 species